rnacentral:rRNA from 1 species
UACGUAGGGUGCAAGCGUUGUCCGGAAUUAUUGGGCGUAAAGAGCUCGUAGGCGGUCUGUCGCGUCUGCUGUGAAAACUCAGGGCUUAACCCUGAGCUUGCAGUGGGUACGGGCAGACUAGAGUGCGGUAGGGGAGACUGGAAUUCCUGGUGUAGCGGUGAAAUGCGCAGAUAUCUACAGGAACUCCGGUGGCGAAGGCGGCACGCUGGACCUUUUCUGACGCUGAGGCGCGAAAGCCAGGGGAGCGAACGGG